CACACAUUGAAAACGAAAAGGGUGAAAACAGCACAAAGAAUUGGCUGCAGAUUUCACAAUCCAGGUUACAUAUUCAACAUGUUCGUUUGUUUGGUGUUCAACGUUUUAAGUGUUUUGUUGUUUAUCGGGUUUAAAAAAGAAUUUCACGGAGGAAGAGCUAAUAACAAGUACAGUUUGAAGUAACAUUUAAUGAUGACAUAUCAAGAAGAUGAAAAAGACUACGAAGAGGACACUUCACAACUAGUGAACAUACAGGUCUUACAA